GCCCCCGUAGCUCAGUUUGGAUUUUAAGGACAAAAAGAGCACCAGCCUCCUAAGCUGGGGGUCGUGAGUUCGAAUUUUAGAGAAUCUCACCGGGGGCA
rnacentral:tRNA from 1 species